AUAGUGAUAGCGAAAAAAUGUGCAAAAAAUAAAAAAAAUAAAAAGAAUAAAAUAUAAAAUAUAAAGAAAUUUUUGUUUUCUAAAGAAAAAAUAAAAAACUACAGAGAAAAGAAGAAAAUGAAGUUACACUAUUUCAAGAGAAUAUUAUACUGGUUUAGAGAAAACUUACACUCUUUGAGAGAAAAAUUAUAUUUUUCUGAAUAAAGUUGCACUAUUUGAACGAAAGUUGCACCUCUUUGGAUAUAAAUUAUAUUAUUUCUUCUCCAUUGCCUCCUCCUUACUUCUACUAUAAGAACAAAAUAAUUUUUUAUAUAAUUCUGUCAUUUUGAAAAGUAUUUUUGGUAUAAAUUAUAAGAAAUAGACAGAAUAGUGAUUGAUCCUUGACAGAGGAAGGCUAAAUAUAACAACUCGAAAUGUUAAGCGGCUGUUUGGUUUGACGUCAAACUACGAAAAAAAAAUUUUCGGUGAAAAAUUUUUUUUUACGUAGUUUAGUAUUUGGUUUGUAGGAAAAGAAAAAUAGUUUUCGAUAAUAGUUAUUUGGUUGAAAGAAAAAGAAAAGUAGAUGAAAACCUAUUUAAUAUUUUUUUUAUUAUAUAUAUUAUUAUUAUAUAAUAAUUAAUAUACUAUAUAUAUUAUUAUUAUAAUUUUUAUAUGUAUAUUAAAUAUAUUUAAAAUUAUAAUAAAUAUAUAAUACUAUAAAAUAAAUUAUUAGAUAUUUAUAAAUAAUAUUUAUAAAUAAAAUAUUAUAUAAUAAAUAUAUUUAUAUUAAAAAUAAAAUACCAUAUUUAAAAUAUUAUAUAUAUAUAUAUAUAUA
rnacentral:lncRNA from 1 species